rnacentral:lncRNA from 1 species
AAUAAAUAAACUAACUGGAUAAGUAAUUAAUCGUUGGAAAUCAACAAACAAAAUAAGUACUGAACCAAAUCAUGACAAAUGCGUCUCACAAAAUCUCCAAUUUCAAAGUGAGAAUAAUUAUUUUAUUGAGUCAUGGCCAUUGUGCACCAGUAUUACAAAUCAAAUGUGUUGGUUUACGCCUCAUCAUCAAGAGUUCGAGCCUUCGAGGUUCUCUAAUUAGUGGAAUUGGUUGACGAGUAUUCGUCGCCCCUCUUAGUACGGAACGAUAAUUAAGUUAUUAUUAUUCAAAUUCAUAAUCAAAAUGUGCUUCACUUCCAUCAUCCUAUAAUUUGUGUUACGAAUAUUUCAUGUCUUAUUAUUAAGAAAAAAUUGAGUGUGUUACUAUAAUGAAAAUAAAACAACCACACAUUUUUCUUUAUUUUAAUCAAACACAUAGAAAAAAGACAACUUGGUUACUCAUUUCAUUGCACAAUAAGCCCCCUCAAUUUCUUAAAUUUCCCUUUCAAAAUAUGACAAAAUCCACCUCAGCAUUUCCCCGUGCUCAAGAACUUUACUUAGUUUAAAACGUAACGUAAUGUAAAUAACA